UACGGAGGGUGCGAGCGUUGUCCGGAAUCACUGGGCGUAAAGGGCGCGUAGGCGGCGCGACAAGUCAGUGGUGAAAGCCCGAGGCUCAACUUCGGGUCGGCCACUGAUACUGUCGGGCUCGAGCACUGUAGAGGCAGGUGGAAUUCCGGGUGUAGCAGUGAAAUGCGUAGAUAUCAAGUGGAACACCAGUGGCGAAGGCGAGUCUCUGGACAUUUCCUGACGCUGAGGCACGAAAGCCAGGGGAGCAAACGGG
rnacentral:rRNA from 1 species